UACACAGGGAAUGGAAUAAGGAACGGGGAAAGCUACGGGAUUGACAUCAAUAAUGUGACAGCUUGCAUCAGAAAACCUUUCUCAUCGCAAUUCUGUUGUCAGAACAAAAACAGCCCGAAUCUCGGCAGGUGCUACGGCAGUGUGUCAGAUUGCCAAUCCAAUUGCCCUAAUGAUCUUGAUCCUCAUAUUAAGCAAAUGGACAAGCAAAUGAAGCACUGUAGCCAAGGAUUCUUGAUUAUGUCCUUGAUUCUUCUGGGAUGUUUUACCAUUCCCGUUGUUCGUUCUCAAGGGAAUGGAAUAAGGAAUGGGGAAAGCUACGGGAUCGACAUCAAUAAUGUGACAGCUUGCGUCAGAAAACCUUUCUCAUCGCAAUUUUGUUGUCAGAACAAAAACAGCCCGAAUCUCGGCAGGUGCUAUGGUAGCGUGUCAGAUUGCCAAUCCAAUUGCCCUAAUGUUCUUGACCAUCAUGUGUGA
rnacentral:lncRNA from 1 species